rnacentral:misc_RNA from 1 species
GUUCUCGUAAAAGUGGUGUUUUGCUCUUUUAGUUGGAUUGAUUGCUAUUACGUGGCACAUGGUUCGCCUACUCUAUGUUAUAGGGUGCGUGUUGAAUUCUUUCUUCACACACAGGUGUAGGGGGAUUGAUAGAAAUUUUGUCAAGUAAUGAAAUAAUUGUUGCACAUGGGUUUUGUGUAUUAGUUUGAACAUGUGAGGUGAGGUAGAAGGUGGGGUUGCUGUGAUUUGUCUGCUAGGAAGAGUGUGAUAUAUUUGUAGUGUGAAGGGGCAUAUAUAAUUCUUUUCUCUUUAGCUAUGGUAAGUAAAGGUCCACUGGCCACAUGGCUGGAGUGGGAGUGGGAGUGGGAGAUGAACAAAAACAAAAAGGUCGAUUCCUCCCUAUGUAUUACACCUCUUUGGUGAUGCUACUGUUAUUCUCAGUUUACACUCACU